rnacentral:rRNA from 1 species
CGCAGCCGCGGUAAUUCCAGCUCCAAUAGCGUAUAUUAAAGUUGUUGCAGUUAAAAAGCUCGUAGUUGAAUUUCGGGGUUAGUAGGUUGGUCAUGCCUCUGGUAUGUACUGGUCUCACUGAUUCCUCCUUCCUGAUGAACCGUAAUGCCAUUAAUUUGGUGUUGCGGGGAAUUUGGACUGUUACUUUGAAAAAAUUAGAGUGUUUAAAGCAAGCUAACGCUUGAAUACAUUAGCAUGGAAUAAUGAAAUAGGACGUUCGAUCCUAUUUUGUUGGUUUCUAGGAUUGACGUAAUGAUUAAUAGGGAUAGUUGGGGGCAUUAGUAUUCAAUUGUCAGAGGUGAAAUUCUUGGAUUUAUUGAAGACUAACUACUGCGAAAGCAUUUGCCAAGGAUGUUUUCAUUAAUCAAGAACGAAAGUUAGGGGAUCGAAGACGAUCAGAUACCGUCGUAGUCUUAACCAUAAACUAUGCCGACUAGGGAUCGGAUGAUGUUAAUUUUUUAAUGACUCAUUCGGCGCCUUACG